rnacentral:rRNA from 1 species
ACGUAGGUGGCGAGCGUUAUCCGGAAUUAUUGGGCGUAAAGGGUGCGCAGGCGGUUAUAAAAGAUUGUGGUUAAAGAAUGGGGCUCAACUCCAUAAUGCCAUGAUAACUGUAUAACUAGAGUGCAGAAGAGGAAAGUGGAAUUCCAUGUGUAGCGGUGAAAUGCGUAGAUAUAUGGAGGAACACCAGUGGCGAAGGCGACUUUCUGGUCUGUAACUGACGCUGAGGCACGAAAGCGUGGGGAGCAAAUAG